rnacentral:rRNA from 1 species
GACGAACGCUGGCGGCGUGCUUAACACAUGCAAGUCGAACGGAAAGGCCCUGCUUUUGUGGGGUGCUCGAGUGGCGAACGGGUGAGUAACACGUGAGUAACCUGCCCUUGACUUUGGGAUAACUUCAGGAAACUGGGGCUAAUACCGGAUAGGAGCUCCUGCUGCAUGGUGGGGGUUGGAAAGUUUCGGCGGUUGGGGAUGGACUCGCGGCUUAUCAGCUUGUUGGUGGGGUAGUGGCUUACCAAGGCUUUGACGGGUAGCCGGCCUGAGAGGGUGACCGGCCACAUUGGGACUGAGAUACGGCCCAGACUCCUACGGGAGGCAGCAGUGGGGAAUAUUGCACAAUGGGCGGAAGCCUGAUGCAGCAACGCCGCGUGCGGGAUGACGGCCUUCGGGUUGUAAACCGCUAUCGCCUGUGACGAAGCGUGAGUGAAGGUAAUGGGUAAAGAAGCACCGGCUAACUACGUG